GUUUUGAGUAGUGGUGAUUGCUACACAACUAGAUACAAUUAGCUAUGAGUUUUAAAAUGAGUCAGUUAGAUUCAAAAGGAGUUGUAGGGACCACUCAUUUAUUGAAAGGUCAAUUAAUAUUUGUAUUGUGUGUGUGUGGAAUGGGUGUGUUUGUGAUUUGGAGACAAAUUUUAGAGAGAGAAAUGCUGAUUGAAAGAGUUAGGGUUAGGAUGUAUGUGUUUUUUGUCAUAACUAAACAAGGUUGAUUAGACAGUUGGUGGAUUAAUCUUAAUUCACAGUAUUUUCUUUUAUUCUUAUUAUCCCCUAUCUCUGCAGUGACAUUAUAAUUCAAGGGCUGACCAUUCUUGCUCCAGUUGACUCUCCAAACACUGAUGGAAUAGAUCCAGCCAAAUUGCUAUUCCAGAGUUAUAAGUGUUAAUGGCGAUGAACAUAUUAUAAUAUUUGCGAAGAGGGACAUUAAACAGUGGGAAGAGCUUACAUAUGAUUACAGGUUUACCUCUUCUCCAAAUGAGGCAGAGGGAGCAAUUGCUGUUAUUAUUAUUAGGAGUGUUUGGAAAGCAUCCUUGAAUAUCUUGCUGAUCAGAAGGACCCUACUACUUUAUGCCAGAAAUUUAUUGAUGAGUUUGAUCGAUGCAUCCUCAGUUAUUUUGCAUUUAAUUGGAACCAAGCUUCUUAUAUGAUUAGUCAGGUACAGUAUAUAUAAUUUAGAACAAAACUUUGCAUGCAGUAUACUUCAAGCAGAUUUUGGUACUAAUAAGUGUCCUAACAUUUGUUA